rnacentral:rRNA from 1 species
GAUGAACGCUGGCGGCGUGCUUAACACAUGCAAGUCGAACGAAGCAUUUACGACAGAUUUCUUCGGACUGAAGUUGUUUAUGACUGAGUGGCGGACGGGUGAGUAACGCGUGGGUAACCUGCCUUGUACUGGGGGAUAGCAGUUGGAAACGGCUGGUAAUACCGCAUAAGCGCACGGUGCUGCAUGGCACAGUGGGAAAAACUCCGGUGGUAUAAGAUGGACCCGCGUCUGAUUAGCUAGUUGGUGAGAUAACAGCCCACCAAGGCGACGAUCAGUAGCCGACCUGAGAGGGUGACCGGCCACAUUGGGACUGAGACACGGCCCAGACUCCUACGGGAGGCAGCAGUGGGGAAUAUUGCACAAUGGAGGAAACUCUGAUGCAGCGACGCCGCGUGAGUGAAGAAGUAAUUCGUUAUGUAAAGCUCUAUCAGCAGGGAAGAUAGUGACGGUACCUGACUAAGAAGCUCCGGCUAAAUACGUGCCAGCAGCCGCAGUAA